rnacentral:rRNA from 1 species
CAGCAGCCGCCACGGUAAUACGGAGGGUGCAAGCGUUAAUCGGAAUUACUGGGCGUAAAGCGCACGCAGGCGGUCUGACAAGUCAGAUGUGAAAUCCCCGGGCUUAACCUGGGAACUGCAUUUGAAACUGUCAGGCUGGAGUCUUGUAGAGGGGGGUGGAAUUCCAGGUGUAGCGGUGAAAUGCGUAGAGAUCUGGAGGAAUACCGGUGGCGAAGGCGGCCCCCUGGACAAAGACUGACGCUCAGGUGCGAAAGCGUGGGGAGCAAACAGGAUUAGAUACCCGAGUAGUCCCUGUCUCUUAUAC